GACGGAAGGUGCAAGCGUUGCUCGGAAUCACUGGGCGUAAAGGGUGCGUAGGCGGCUUGGUAAGUUGGGUGUGAAAGCCCCGGGCUCAGCCCGGGAAGGGCACUCGAAACUGCCGAGCUGGAGUGCCGGAGGGGGGAGUGGAAUUCCUGGUGUAGCGGUGAAAUGCGUAGAUAUCAGGAGGAAUACCGGUGGCGAAAGCGACUCUCUGGACGGCAACUGACGCUGAGGCACGAAAGCGUGGGGAGCAAACAGG
rnacentral:rRNA from 1 species